rnacentral:rRNA from 1 species
GGCCUUUUGAUAAUAAUUUAAGGUCUGACCUGCUCACUGACUUGUUUUGAAGAGCCGCGGUAUUUUGACCGUGCAAAGGUAGCAUAAUCAUUAGUCUCUUAAUUAGAGGCUGGAAUGAAUGGUUUGACGAGGAGUUGACUGUCUCUAUUUAAUAUCUAGAAUUUAACUUUUGAGUUAAAAGGCUCAAAUUUUUCUUUAGGACGAGAAGACCCUAUAGAGCUUAAUAUAUUAUUUUUAUAUAGUUUAUAGUUUGUUUUCCUAUAUUUAGUUUAAUAUAUUUUGUUGGGGUGACAUGAAGGAUAAUUAAACCCUUCAUUAUAAAAUCAUUGAUUUAUGUUAUUUUGAUCCAUAAUUUAUGAUCAUAAGAUUAAGUUACCUUAGGGAUAACAGCGUAAUUGUUUUAGAGAGCUCAAAUCGACAAAGCAGAUUGCGACCUCGAUGUUGGAUUAAGAAAAAUGCUAGGUGCAGUAGCUUAGUAAUUAGGUCUGUUCGACCUUUAAAUUCUU